GACGAAGGGGGCUAGCGUUGUUCGGAAUUACUGGGCGUAAAGCGAGUGUAGGUGGUUGUCAUAGUCAGGCGUGAAAGCCCCGGGCUUAACCUGGGAAUUGCGCUUGAUACUCUGAGACUGGAGUACGGGAGAGGAGAGUGGAAUUCCCAGUGUAGAGGUGAAAUUCGUAGAUAUUGGGAAGAACACCAGUGGCGAAGGCGGCUCUCUGGACCGUAACUGACGCUGAGGCGCGAAAGCGUGGGGAGCAAACAGG
rnacentral:rRNA from 1 species